rnacentral:tRNA from 1 species
GGUGGCUCAGUGGUAGAGUGCUUGCCUAGCAUGCAUGAAGCCCGGGGUUUUAUUCCCCAGUACCA